rfam:Salmo salar isolate Sally breed double haploid chromosome ssa07, whole genome shotgun sequence.
CUAAUACCAAUUUGUAAGUCGCUCUGGAUAAGAGCGUCUGCUAAAUGACGUAAA